rnacentral:tRNA from 1 species
GCCUGACUGGCUCAUUUGGAAGAGCAUGCAACUGUUGAUCUUGAGGUUGUGAGUUCGAGCCCCAUGUUGGGUA